rnacentral:misc_RNA from 1 species
UUUCCGUAGGUGAACCUGCGGAAGGAUCAUUAACGAGUUAGGGUCUUCUAGGCCCGACCUCCAAACCCUUUGUUUACUGAACCAUUGUUGCCUCGGUGGGUCCGUCUUACGACCGCCGGGGGAUCGCCGCGAGGCGCCCCCUAGCCAGCGCCCACCGAUAGCCCAACCUUUAAAACCCUUUGUGAAUCGUGUCUUAUGUCUAAAUUUAUGAUUAAACAAUCAAAACAAAACUUUCAACAACGGAUCUCUUGGUUCUG